GUUUAUCUUUCAAAAACCAUGCUAAUCUUUACACUUCCUUGAUGAAGAGGAAGAAAAGUUAAUGUGUUGACGCGAUUUUGGUAAAUUCUAAUCCCUAAUCUGAGAUUUUCCCAAUUAGAGCUUCACUACGGUUCAAAGAAACAGAGAUUUAUAGAAUUGACAGAACACCAAAUCGACCAUUACAUGGUUUUUAAAAGCAUGGUUUUGACAAAUAAGAGAUAAGAGCCAUGGCUGCGAGGUUCAACAAGCCCUCAGCCUCCCCGUUCUUCUACGGGAGGAUCACCAGGGAGGAGGCAGAGUAUUUCCUGAGGGAGAGGGGCUCCGAAGAGGGGCUAUUUCUGUUGAGAGAAAGCAUUAGUCCACUGGGAAACUACGCCAUUAGUAUCUGCCACAACAAUAAUGUCCAUCAUUACAGUAUAGAGAAACGACUUGAUGGUCAGUUUAUGAUUGCGGAGGGCAAGCCCUUCCCUGGCCCUUUAGAACUCAUUGAACACCACAAAACCACCAUCGAUGGUUUCGUCACAAAACCAACAAAAGCUUGCAACCGUGCCAAAUUCCAACCUGCCAUUGCCUUCAGGGGGAUGACAUACACUGACCUAGAAAAUGAACUGCUGAAAAAAGCAGAGAAAAUGAAGAAUGUGCGGAUGGAGACUGCCCUGGGGGCCCAGAGGGACCACCUGAUGGCAGACCGGAGACUGGCAGCUGACGGACACGACGACGGAAAGUUCCUAGUGCGUCUCCGAGAGGACAAGAAAACCUACGCUCUGUCUCUUAGCCACAAAGGCGAAACCAGGCACUACAUGAUUGAAAAGAAGGAUAAAUUCCACAUUCUAGGGGGACCAAAGUUUGACUGCAUCAUGAUGAUGAUUGACCACUACCACAACAAGGCUGAUGGACUUCUGUGUAAGCUAGCUGUGCCAUGCCCAGCCCCCAACUAUGACAAAGGCAAAUGGAGAAAGUACAUGGAUUAUAAUUGUAGUAACUUGGCUUAUGGGUCAACUGAUCAGUUCUCCAGGUCAUCAGAUAUACAGGAUGGAACUGGUGUCCCUUCCUUCCCUGCGCCCCAGCCCCCUGUGGGUAAGCUCACCCCCUGUCCCUCCAUCUCGUCCAACUGGUCGACGAUCGUCCAAUCGAGUUCGAGCCCCACUGCCUCCGCUACCUCGAGGGAUCAAGGACGAAACAUGGGAAGAACAAGAUUUUCCACCUGAGCGACAUAGGUCGAUGCAUGGCAUUGAUGCUAACUAAUUUGAUGAAGAUUUAUGACACUGUGCCAAGAAAUGACGAGAUGUUCUCUCUGGAAAGACGUCAGAUAAAGCUGGAUCAAGAAAACCUAGGCUCUGGGCAGUUUGGCUCCGUGGCCAAGGGAGAGUGUACCCUCAGGAAUGGCAGUGUGAUCCCCGUGGCCGUCAAAACUCUCAAGAAUGAGGACAUUGGUGCCAAGGAAGAGAUGCUGAAAGAGGCUCGAUUUAUGAUGAAUCUGAACCACAAGCAUAUAAUUAGGAUGAUUGGUAUUUGUGAUGCAGACUGUGUGAUGUUAGUCCUGGAGCUAGCCCCUAAAGGGCCCCUGAACUCAUUCCUUAAGAAUAACAAAGAUAUGAAGCAAUCAAACAUCGUGGAGAUCAUGUGGCAAGUCGCCUCAGGAAUGGCCUACCUGCAGCAGAAGAAGUAUGUCCACAGAGAUUUGGCCGCGCGUAAUGUACUGCUGGUGGAUGAACACACUGCAAAAAUCAGUGAUUUUGGAAUGUCCAAAGCAAUGUCCAGGGAACAGAACUAUUAUGAGGCUCAGAAUGCUGGGAAAUGGCCACUGAAGUGGUAUGCUCCAGAGUGUGUGUAUUAUUGGAAAUUCGACAGCAAGUCUGACGUGUGGAGUUAUGGUGUGACCUUGUGGGAGGCGACAUCUUAUGGGGACAAGCCUUACAGGAAAAUGAAAGGUCAAGAAAUUUUACGUUUUCUUGUGGAGGAAAAUCAGCGGUUAUCAAAACCACCUCGUUGUCCUGAUGAAGUCUAUGAAAUCAUGUUAGAAUGCUGGAAAUAUGAUAAAAAUGAGCGACCAACAUUCAUACAACUAGAGACCAAGAUGAGUUAUAUCUUUAACUGUUUACUGGAGAGGGGAGAAUGAUAAAUGUAGUGCUUCAUUCACCCAUCAGGACAUUGCUAUAGUGUUUCAUCAUGGAACAAGACUAUCAAAGAUUCACAGAAAAGUGUUGCUUUAAGUCGACUAACAGAAAUCAGAUAUUUAGUUAAGAAAAUCUACAUUCCUGGUUCUGUUUGAAUACGUUCAAAGACAGUCAUGAAUCAUGGAUGUUAAAGUUCAUCUAAAUUUACAUGUACAGAAUAUCUAUUUUGCCAAAGUUCUGACUAAAUGUUAUCUGAAUACAUGGGUCAUUUGUA
rnacentral:misc_RNA from 1 species